AUACACCCCACGAGUCCCAGAUAGGACGAAAGGUGCGUCCUGUAU
rnacentral:hammerhead_ribozyme from 1 species